ACAUGCUGAGCGCUAUUAUUUCUCUUCAGAGAAACCAAGCCAGUAUUCUGAUCCUCCUAGCCAUUGCACAUGCCUGUAUUCAUAUGGCCAUUGUGGAUAAUUCUAUGCUUUAAUAAUUCUCCUGAUAUAUCACUGUUUAUUAGUAGGAGAUUUCUUCUGCUUGGCCAUAACAACAAUUCCAUGUUGUUUCUUUUGUAAUUCGAUGGUUGACAGUCUCAUAUAUUACACUAGCUAAUAUAUUACAACGGAAUGAAUCAACUACUCUCAUGGUCGAUCCCAUCCCAUCUAUUUGUCUAUCUGUAUGUAUGUAUUUACUCUGAACAAAAUUCAGUCUGCACAUCUGCAUCUGCAUUGCGCAAGUACAGAUACAUCCGCCCCUGCUAUUUUCUUGUUAUACAUUACAUAGAUGCAUACAUACGCCAGGCUAUUUCUGUGUCUGUCUGUCUGACCUCUCAAGCAUGCAUAUCUCUUUCGUAUGUACUGAAUUUUGUAACAAUUUCGUUUUCCUCAUACUUACAGGAUGCUGCGCUCGCUACUUACAUGUUUUCUGAUGCCGCAACAAAGGACUAUAUGUGGUUUCUUCAGUGGGGCAGUCGCUGUCGCUCCUCUUGUUCAAUAACAUUUCAGCAUUGGACCUGCUAGUCACCCAAGCCAAGCCUCGCAUCGCUUCAACAAAGCGAUACUUCUUCCAAUCAACCCCUGCUUCGACUCUGCUCUUUUUUUCAUCUUCUCUUAUCUAAGCUAAGAAAGAUUCUGAGUUUGCAUCCAUCUCAUUACACUAGCUAGCACAAUAUAUUAGUUAAGGCAACUCUACUACAUAUCAAUUUCCCCUACUGGAUUGGUUCUAUAUUUUUAAAGUUGUUUCGUGGUGCAUGAGCCCAACCUGAAGAAUUAUAGGCUUAUGAUGACUAUUUUCCUUCUUAAGUAAGCAUAGUUGUUGGCUUCGGUAGCUUGCUGAAUAUGCUUUAGUUAUAUAUAGAAAUGACGUGCCUUCUAUGCUUAAAUGAUUGUUUGGCUCUAUAUAAUUGUUGACAUGAAUAUCUUGACUUCCCAAACAAGUAUAGGACUGUACCUAUGCAUACAGAUUAUCCUAACAAAACUGAAAAAAAAAUUGAAGCAUGAAAUAAGCAAUAAGUGGCUGAUUUUUGUUUGCAUGUUAAGCGGAAAGUUGUAGCCAAGGCUUAUAUAUUACAAAAUAUUGUCACACCUCUGAGCUUCUACUGUUGAUAGGGACAUCGUAGUGUGAUCUUCAUGAUUUUUCGCUUGAAGAUGUACUGAUUCAUUAGUCAAGCAGAGACCGAAGUCAUCUUUUGCUACUGUUAGCUCUAUGGAUGUUUAUUUACCUGCAACUUCUGCGAGCUCUAACUUGGUUAUAUAGCAGUUCAAUUCAGUCAAUCUGUUGGAACUAGUUUGUCUAUUACUUGUAUCCAAAUUUUAUGUCAUGCCCUAUGCCAUUGUCGACUUCCUUAGGUACAUAAUUGUCAUGUCUUGCAAUCUGGUAUUGAUGAUUGUCAAUGUAUUCAUUUAUACCUUUCUAGUGUACCUUGUAUGUGACCCAGCUGAUCUGUAUAUCAAUGCUCUGUUUCCAAUAGAUGUAUGCUGAUGCCUGAUGGCUGAUUCCUUAAAACUACACUGUUGCAGUAGCAUUUUUCCUUAGUGCAUAGAUGUAUGAGCGAUCACUUAUGCUUGAAACCUUGCUCUCUUUCCCAGGAACCAUCGUGGUCUGCGUCACUACUGGGGCAGGAGAGGAAAGACUGUUGGUGUCUCCAAGAAGCGAUAAACUGCUUCACAAAGAUCCCCACAUAGCUUCACUACUACUGUGUUGGUCCAUUUCCAGAAUCGUAAGGAGUGUUCUUGUUUAGACGAUUACCUUGGAUGAUGCUUUUGCUUAAGGAGAGGCUUAAGAAGAUCAGGGAGCUCUGCAUCCGAGUUUCAGCCGUCCUCUACAGCAAGGAGCUCUGGGCCAAAGGAGCAAGCAGCGCUGCUAGUUCCUUGAGGCCAGAUCGAGUAAGAUGGCACACCAUGGCGUGUGGUGGCGUAUUUUGCUUCCGGGAACAGUACUGUUUAUUUGAAGUGAGAUGUACUCGUCUAGUGCCUGGCAAAAAAUUGAAGGAUGAAGUGUCAUGUAGUGUCUAUGUUGUAGUGAGCUGUAGUAGGAGUGAAAUGAAAAUUUAUCUGCUGUUGUAUGUGCUAUUUCCCUCUAAUUUGUUGUGUACAUUUUACUUGAACAUUAAAUUCUCCAGAAAAAAUGUUCUUACUGGACCUGAUAGUGGCCACGGCCCAA